rnacentral:rRNA from 1 species
UACGCAGGGCCCAAGCGUUGUCCGGAAUUAUUGGGCGUAAAGAGCUCGUAGGCGGCCUGUUGCGUCCGCUGUGAAAACGCGAGGCUCAACCUCGCGCCUGCAGUGGGUACGGGCAGACUAGAGUGCGGUAGGGGAGAUUGGAAUUCCUGGUGUAGCGGUGGAAUGCGCAGAUAUCAGGAGGAACACCGAUGGCGAAGGCAGAUCUCUGGGCCGUAACUGACGCUGAGGAGCGAAAGCGUGGGGAGCGAACAGG